rnacentral:lncRNA from 1 species
CCUCCCACCAAAACACGUUCCCUAGUUUUAGAGAACUCUUCCUCUUCCUCAACCAAAAUUUUUUUCUCUUACAAAUCAUCUCUACAAAUUGCAAGAUCAUUCUAUCACCCUCUCCAAAAAUUCAACCGUUACUUAUCUCAAAUAUGGCUGGUCAUUCAUAAUUUCUCUCUUCUUCUUCCACACAGGUACAUAUUCUUGGUGAGAUUUUCCCCCUGAUCUUCUCCUUGUUUUUUCCCUCUUCUUUUCCUCUCUUUUCUUCCACAAUUACUAUUUCUAGCAAGUUAUGUCAUGGGCUUUUUUAUUGUGUUCGAUUUAAUUUUCUAUUUUGGGUUUUUUGGGUUCUUGAUUUCUCUAUUUGUGCAUAUCUACGUGGGUUUGUAAAAAGGUAGUAGUAAGUGAGAGGUAGAUUUUUUCCCAGGCAUCUUACAUGUCUACUGUUUCCUUAUUUUUAUUUAUUCUUAAGCUCGUGACAUUUUUUCUUGAUUCGGCCUCGUUCGAAUUUGUACGUUCAUUAGAGCUUUCUUGGUGGAAGAGCAAAAGAUUGUGAAGAAGGUUUUGAAGAUUUAGAAGGCCAAGGAAAAGCUAUCUGCUAAGAGCUAAAGAGUAAGUCAUAUGUCAAUAUAGUUUUGGUUACUGUUAGUCAAGGAUGAUUGGAAUUGUAAUCGGAGGCUUCCAUGCUUAAAUUAUAUUUAUUUCUUGGAGGAUGUUUGGGGGGCCGGGGGGGUGCGAGAACUGAUGGUAAUGAUCUUUGAAGUUUGAAUUAUUCUUAAUAAUCACAUGCAAAUGAAAAAUCUUGAGACGGAACCUCACAUGCAUUAAAUUGUGC